rnacentral:rRNA from 1 species
AUACGUAGGGUGCAAGCGUUAAUCGGAAUUACUGGGCGUAAAGCGUGCGCAGGCGGUUUUGUAAGACAGUGGUGAAAUCCCCGGGCUCAACCUGGGAACUGCCAUUGUAACUGCCAGGCUGGAGUGCGGCAGAGGGGGAGUGAAUUUCCCGGGGAGCAGUGAAAUGCGUAGAUAUGCGGAGGAACACCGAUGGCGAAGGCAAUCCCCUGGGCCUGCACUGACGCUCAUGCACGAAAGCGUGGGGAGCAAACAGGAUUAGAUACCCUGGUAGUCCACGCCCUAAACGAUGUCAACUGGUUGUUGGGGAUUUAUUUUCUCAGUAACGAAGCUAACGCGUGAAGUUGACCGCCUGGGGAGUACGGCCGCAAGGUUAAAACUAAAAUGAAUUGGCGGG